GCCUGGCUGGCUCAGUUGGUGGAGCAUGUGAUUCUUGAUAUCUAGGUUGUAAGUUCGAGUCCUAUGUUGGGUG
rnacentral:tRNA from 1 species